AUUUAUGGACAGUGAAUAGGCUAGGGAAUCUAUAUGCGUACAGCAUUCGGGUUGAACCUAAACUUCAUUAACCCCUGAAUAACGUACGCUGUGGGCAUGCUGUCCAGAUCUUGCUCUCUGGGUUUACAAGUGAGUGGGUGUGGGUUUAAAUAUCUAAUGGAGAAAAGGCAUUGCAGAAUCUCUCAUCGGACGAGAAUAGCAUCGUUGUGUCCACCGCCCCCACCCCACAACACCCCACCUAACGGAUUUUUAAAAAGAGGUUCUUUUUCGCUUCGGCAGCCAACACUCCGGGUUUGUCUUGACUCAGCCCAAAUCGCCAACAAAUACCGAUUCCGUCCAACAUGUUCAUGGGAUGCAUUUCUUUCAAAUCUUUGGUUGGUCAGGGUGACUGGCUUCAAUAGUGGAUGACCUUGUCGGAUGACCCAUCUGUCGUACUGGGCCGAUACGGGAGAGGUGAGACAGCUAUGCAGAGCCUGAACACUCUGAUUUCCACCUCCGCAGAUGGUGGGUCACCUUAAGUAAAGACAAACACAGAGGUCAAAGAACACGUCUCUGGGAUCACUUGCUAUUAGUUGGAUUUGUCACCCUUAAGGCACCCAGGAAAAAGACUGAUGAAGAAAGUUAUCUGUGGUAGAGAGGAAUGACAUGGAAGGAAGCCGUUUAUUUCCAUAGAUGGUAUUAAAGGUCUAUUGAUGUCAGCCAUUUUAACAGGCAAUUAAAUGACAACAAGAAAAAGGACAAGAAUGAACUUCUCCAGACUGCAUACAGAUCCGAGUGUGUCCAGAUUGAAACAUUCAAUGGAUCUCCUCGGAGACGAGAGCUGGUUUGGGUCCGUCCGACUGCAGCCAGUUUGGUUCAUCUCGUGACUUCAAGGCUUAUCGGCUUGUUUCCUUGGUAAAUAAGACAGGAAUCAAACAUGGAUGAAAGGUUAUGGUCUCCAGGUCCACCACCACACACACAUAAUAAACUCCGACCAAGGUCUCUGAUCGCCGUCUGUUUGACUGGCAUGUUCUCAACAGCCACCCACGGAUAUUUGUGCAUAUUCGUGUGGACGCUCAAAGGAGGAAAAAUAUCAGUAUAUAAAAAAACAGGUUUGGACAAAACCAUACAGGGCCUGUGCUUUUAUUCAUUUUCACUGCAGAGUAGAGAAAAGUGUAACCCUUUUUUAUGUCCUCAUCUUGGUAGCAAUGACAAUGAAUUGGCACUUCAACUUUGACUUCUUCAACAGGAAAAACACCCCACUCUCCCACUGUGUUCGCUUUCCCACUUUCUGAGAGUGAAUGAACACUCUCCAAAACUCACAGCUGUUCAAUCUAAAAACACAAACUCUGCCUGUGACAAAAAAGCAAAGAGGUGAAGCCUCGUGUUGCAUUCUGGAGUGGACAUCAAAGCUAGUGGCUGUAGGACAGUCCAACAAAAGAGCAGUCGUUUAUCUUGGGACUCUUUUUUUGGGUUUAGCGGAGACCAAACCUGGAACUAGACAUUCUACCAUCAUCAGAGCAGCAUAAUAAGAGCCAACCUAAACCCCUGAUUCUUCAAAAACUAAAUAAGGUACUCUGCAUUCUUUUCCCA